GUCCUGUCCCACCAGUCCUGCUGUCCCAACGGUCCUGUCCUACCCAUCCUGCUGUCCCUCCAGUCCUCCUGUCCUGUUCUGCUGUCCCUCCUGUCCUGUCCCACCAGUCCUGCCGUCCAACCGUCCUGUCCUACCCAUCCUGCUGUCCCUCCAGUCCCCUUCUCCUGUCCUGCUGUCCCUCCUGUCCCAUCCUGCUGUCCCUCGGGUCCUCCUGUCCUGUCUGCCUGUCCUGCUGUCCCUCGGGGCUCCAGUCCCCUGUCCUGCUGUUCCUAAAGUCCUCCUGUCCUGUCCUGCCUGUCCUGCUGUCCCUCGGGUCCUCCUGUCCUGUCCUGCCUGUCCUGCUGUCCCUCGGGUCCUCUUGUCCCGUCCUGCUGUUCCUAAAGUCCUCCUGUCCUGUCCCACCAGUCCUGCUGUCCCUCCCGUCCUGUCCUACCCAUCCUGCUGUCCCUCCAGUCCCCUUCUCCUGUCCUGCUGUCCCUACGGUUCUUCUGUCCUGCUGUCCCUCCUGUCCCGUCCUGCUGUCCCUCGGGUCCUCUUGUCCCAUCCUCCCUGUCCUGCUGUCCCUCCUGUCCUGUCUCGCCUGUCCUGCUGUCCCUCAGUCCUCCUGUCCUGUCCUGCUGUUCCUACAGUCCUCCUGUCCUGUCCUGUCUCGCCUGUUCUGCUGUCCCUACGGUCCUGUCCUACCCAUCCUGCUGUCCCUCCAGUCCCCCUCUCCUGUCCUGCUGUCCCUACGGUUCUUCUGUCCUGCUGUCCCUCCUGUCCCAUCCUGGUGUCCCUCAGGUCCUCUUGUCCUGUCCUACCCAUCCUGCUGUCCCUCCAGUCCUCCUGUCCUGGUGUCCCUACGGUCCUCCUGUCCUGGUGUCCCGCCUGGCCUGCCCUACCCAUCCUGCUGUCCCUAUGGUCCUCCUGUCCUGUUCUGCUGUCCCUCCAGUCCUGUCCUGCCUGUCUUGUUGUCCCUCCUGUCUCUCCUGUCCUGUCCUGCUGUCCCUAUGGUCCUGUCCCUACAGUCCUCCUCUCCUAUCCCUCCUGUCCUGCUGUCCCUCCUGGCCUGUCCUACCCAUCCUGCUGUCCCCAUGAUCCUCCUGGCCUGUCCUACCCAUCCUGCUGUCCCCAUGGUCCUCCUGUCCUGUCCUGCUGUCCUUCUCGUCCUGCUGUCCCUCCUGUCUCUCCUGUCCUGCCCGUCCUGCUGUUCCUCCUGUCCUGCCCAUCCUGCUGUCCCUCCUGUCCUGUCCUCCUGUCCCGUCCUGCCUGUCCUACCUGUCCCGCUCGCCCUGCCCUGUCCCUGUACCCAUCUGUGCACACACGCUCACACACACGCACACACACACCCUGGCCCUGUGCACACUGGGGCAGAAGGACACCGAGUGUAGAGAACCCAGGUCUGGUGUCCCUGCUGGGCCAUGGGGGCCACGGGCAGGCAGGGGUGGGCACAGGCCCCACCAGUGCGUUGAGGGGACACACGGGUCACUUAGGGACACGUGGUGCCCUGGGGACGUGGGCAGCAGUGGCCUCGCAGCCACAGCUGGCUUCGCCCUGUCCUGGGGAAACUGAGGCAGGGGGCGCAGCCCAUCCCAGGGUGUGG
rnacentral:lncRNA from 1 species